ensembl:Y_RNA Y_RNA Y RNA
AGCUGGUCCGAGGUAGUGAGUUACCUCAAUUGAUUAGUCAGGAACAGAUCGAACUUAUUCUACUCUGUUCCCCCCUUUUCACUAUUGCACUUGAUUAGUCUAAA